rnacentral:rRNA from 1 species
GACGAACGCUGGCGGCGUGCUUAACACAUGCAAGUCGAACGGCAAGGCUCUGCUUGCAGGGUACUCUAGCGGCGAACGGGUGCGUAACACGUGGGUGAUCUGCCCUGCACUUCGGAAUAAACCUCUGAAACCGGCUCUAGUACCGGAUAGAUGCCACUUUCAUCGGGAUGGUUGGAAAGUUUUUUCCGCUGAGGAUGAGCCCGCGGCCCUUCCGCCUGUGGGUGGGGUAAUGGCCUACCAAGGCGGCGACGGGUAGCCGGCCUGAGAGGGUGGACGGCCACAGUGCGACUGAGGUACGGCCCAGCCUCCUACGGGGGGCAGAAGUGGCGAAUAUUCCACAAUGGGCGCAAGCCUGAUGCAGCGACGCCGCGUGGGGGAUGACGGCCUUCGGGUUGUAAACUCCUUUCGCUAGGGACGAAGCUUUUUGUGACGGUCCCUAGCUAAGAAGCACCGGCUAUCUACGC